AUUGAACGCUGGCGGAAUGCUUUACACAUGCAAGUCGAACGGCAGCACGGGUGCUUGCACCUGGUGGCGAGUGGCGAACGGGUGAGUAAUGCGUCGGAACGUACCGAGUAAUGGGGGAUAACGCAGCGAAAGUUGUGCUAAUACCGCAUACGCCCUGAGGGGGAAAGUGGGGGAUCGCAAGACCUCACGUUAUUCGAGCGGCCGACGUCUGAUUAGCUAGUUGGUGGGGUAAUGGCUCACCAAGGCGACGAUCAGUAGCGGGUCUGAGAGGAUGAUCCGCCACACUGGGACUGAGACACGGCCCAGACGCCUACGGGAGGCAGCAGUGGGGAAUUUUGGACAAUGGGGGCAACCCUGAUCCAGCCAUUCCGCGUGAGUGAAGAAGGCCUUCGGGUUGUAAAGCUCUUUCAGCUGGAACGAAACGGUGCGCUCUAACAUAGCGUGCUAAUGACGGUACCAGCAGAAGAAGCACCGGCUAACUACGUGCCAGCAGCCGCGGUAAAAC
rnacentral:rRNA from 1 species